rnacentral:lncRNA from 10 species
CCACCACGAUGACGGCGAUGAGGCCGGCGGUGAGGCGCUUCAUGGAGAACUUCGGGGGAAUCUCGUCCAGGGCUCCUCAGGCUCAAGCACAACCUGGAAAAACGAAGGUGUUAAUGUUCCAUGAGGCAACUGAUGACCAAUGGGGAGCAGGAGCUGGUGAAUGAAUGUUCCCUUCAUCCAUCCUGCAGCUUCUACAUUGUUCUUCAUCUCUGGGAAAUCAGUGACCCAUGGACUGGACAAUAACUUUGAGCCAUGCAGUCAAAAUAAAAUGGAAUAUUUAAGUGAAAGAUCAGGUUCUGGAAAAUAAAACUGCUCGUAGCUGCAUAUUAUCUACCGAACUUAGGUGGAUUCUCAGAAAGAAAAAGGUGAUGUUCACUGGCAUGAACAGUGAAUGGUGGAGUGGAACGUGAACAGGCUGGAGCUCUGGCUGUGCCAUUUAUUAGCCAUGUGCCUUUAGAAGGUCCUCAUCUUCUCCAGCCUCAGUUUCACCAUCUGUAAUGGUAGGUAAGAACCUCUACUUCAGAAGGCUGUUGGAAAGACGAAAUGGUAUGAGACAAAAUGAAAUAAUGACAUCCUAAGUGGAAAGGGCUCGCCUGGGGUCUGGUUAACAAGUAUCACUGCCUCAGGUAACAGUCUUUCUCAGCAGUGCUGCAUACAAACCUCCUCUGGCUUUGACCUUAACAGCCAUUGUAGGUCAGUGUUCAUAGCAGCCCCCACUCAAGUGAGGGUCCAGCUCUGCAAUGAGUUGUGCCUAAGAAGGUCACAGGGGACCAGCCCCUGCUGUGUAGCGCAGGGAGGAGGGCUCUGUCAUUUCUGGCCAUCAUGGCCCUUUGCAGUCAGCCUCAGCCUGAGAUAAAUAUCACACUCUUGCAUCUCACUUUAUAUCUGAGAUCAUCUGGCCCUGCCCACAUCCUCCUCUGCUAAAUGAGUAGAACAGACGGACUCUAAAGCUGCAGAAUGAUUUUAAAAAUAAAUAAAACCAAAUAACAACUUGAGUCUAAUGAUUUCCCUUCAGGUUGUGCAAGCAGGAAAGUUUAAAAUCACAUAAGAAUGACUUGAGGGAAAAGAACACCCCUUUCUGCUCCCGGUAAACACAAUCAGCUUUGCUGGUCUGGGUUUUUUAAUGAUCUGCAUUUACAGGAGUAUCCAUGACCCAGAGAGAGUAUCAGUGUCAAGAAUCUGCCAGUGAGAAAGUGAUUUGAAGCAGCUCUGGAGUUCAGAUGGCCACGGGUGCAAGUGCCUGCUCUGGUGUGCUUUGCCUCUGGAAAGAUGCCAAGUCUUUGAGAAUCUUUGCUGCAUCAGCCAUGCUACAUCCUGAGGACUUGGAGCCAAACUCCUUGCAGUAUUUGUCUACACAACCUGUCUCUACUUCCUCACCUCCCACUCAAUCCUCCUGAUGGUGCAGCCUUUAAAAACCGUGUUGAAUACUUGGAGUCUGGAAGAAGCAAGGUAAAGAGAGCAAAGGUUAUUUUCACCCUGAAGAGACAGCCUUUAGAGAAGUACAGCCAGGGAGUGAUCGAGUCCCCUAACAAAGACACUUUGGUGAACCAAGAAUGGGAUGGCCCCGACUAGAGUUGGUCUUCACUGCCAGAUGUCCAAUCUAUCUUCACAGCACAUUGGGCAGAACCCACAGUUCUCUCAUCUCAUGACAUACAUGCAUGCAGAUCCCUCCUGAAUUAUGAGCCCUUUUCCUGGCAGCACCAGACUCCAGAUCAAGCCUAGUACAGCCAGAGCCAGUCUCUCUGUGCCCUUCCAAUCAACAGCCUUCUCUGCAAUAAGGAGGGGACCCAUGGCUUCAGUGAGGCCCAAGCAAUACCAAGAAGAGAAGAAGGAUAUGAAGAAAAACACCAUAAAUAGGAUUUCUGAUGUCCAUUUUAUAGAUGAAGAAGGAAGGUUUAGCAAGGCCAUUCAAGGAUACACAGCUAGAGGACGAGAUGGAAUUGAAGUCCCUUUGUCAGCAUCCUUUUCAUUCUUGAUGCCAUUUCAUUUCCCCUCCUGGUAUGUUUUGUUAUGCAGUUAGCUUAGGCCUAAUUUUAUAUAACCAAUUAUAAACUGUGAAAUAGGAUUCUGGUAUGAAUUUCCUAUUCUUCUCCCACUAAGCAACUGAUGAAUCCCUUCGUGGUCAGAUGUGACGAAUGGGAUUGUUUCUGUUCUACUAUGGUUUGAAUUUCUACCUUGAUAAUUACACAAAAACACUAUCAACAAAGGUGGACGCCAGGUAAACACUGCUCCCUCCUAAAUGCUUCUAUGGCUGAGAUCCAUUCUCUUGCUCUUUUUCUCCUUUCUUCAAGAACAGAUGUUCAUAUUCUUUGCCAAUUUUUCUACUGAGUUAUAAGAACACAUUAUAUAUUAAGAAAAUUAGUCCUAUUUAUUUGUCUUAUAGGUUAGAAAUAUUUACCUGUUGGUCAAUGGUCUAUCAUCUGAAUAUAUAGUAUUUUUGGGGGCCUCUGCAUAAUAGUUCUGUAUUAUUUUUUAGGAAAGCCUUCCCACUCCAAGAGAAAAACUAUUAUACAAAUGAUACAACCUGCUAUGGAAAAAAGAGAAAUAACAGAUAAGUAUACAAAGAAAAUACAAGAAAAACAUGAACAGUAAUAAUCUUAUCCAAAUGUUACUGAGAUAUUUUUGGAGUACUUAAUUUCAAUCUUUUUCCUAUAUGCAAACACACACAACUUUUCUCUAACAAAAAUCAGAUCAUACUGUACUAGCAAACACCCUACCUGAAAUCUGUAUAUCCAUUGCCUAUUGAUUAUGCCCAUUGCUUAACAUACUAUGUUUUAUUUAAUCAUUAUUUAAUUGUUGAGUAUGCAAGUUAUUUCUGAGUUUUCACUCAAGCUGUUUACGCUUAUUUCUGUCUGGGUGUGAAUGAAUCUUUGGCACAUUCCUCUAGCAAGUUGAUCAACAUCUGGUCUAAGAUAUUCUUCGGUGUUGGGUUUGUGCUGUCCACAUCAGCUUAGCAAUGUCUGCACAAAGACUCCUUCCCCCUCAAAAGUGCCAUUCAGACUUGCUGUGGGUAUAAGGGGAACAAUCUCAUUGAGGAGAAAGUUGUCAUUGUGGUUGAGAACAUGAACUUUGGAAUUGGAUAGAGCUGUGUGAAUUUGGCCUAAACUCCGAGUCUGCUUCCACAUCUGUAAAAUGUAGACACAAAUAGUUACUCAUAAGGUUCUGGUGGGGAUUAAAUGUGGUUAUACCUGUAAAGUCCUUAGCAUUAUGCCCAGCACAUAGUGAAGAUGUUCGAUAAAUGAUAACUAAACAAACAUUGUGUCCCCUCCCACUACAACCACACUGCUCUCCCUCACCUUACAGACUUUGCUGCUUGACAAUCUUGGGGUGGGGCUGCUGAAAACUGAAUCUCAAUUUAGGAAGCCAUGUUGUCCCAGGAUUAGGGUUAUUGGCCUCACAUAAGAAUCUCCAAAUCUGCAGAAUCUCAGGCCCCACCCAAAAACUAUUCAAUCAGAAACUACAUUUUCAAAAGAUAUCCCAGAUGAUUUGUAUGCAUAGUAAAGUUUGAGAAGGUUUUAGUCCAGGUAUUCAGGAAGUGAUGCUGGUUGUGUAUGGAGGACAGGGGCCCAGGAACUGAUGAAAUCUCUAGUUUGGAAUUCUCGAUAGCAUUUGCAUUCUUUUUUUUUUUUUUUAUCUCAAAUCCAUCACUCAGUAGCAAUGUGAUCUUCACAAAGCUCCCUUUACUUUUACCACCAUAGUGUUGUAGGAGAAGCUCUAUCUUCCAAGUCAGACAGAUCUGGGCUUCAAUUCCAGCUUUGUUAACUGGAGGACUUAUUAUUAGCUGGGAGGACUUGCGACAAAUCAUACCAACUUUCUGAGCCCAGUUUCCUUCCCUGUAAAAUGUAGAUAAUACACCUUUCUUGAGGUGUUACUAGAGAUAACCAAUGAUAAAGUGUUUGGGAAAUCUGGCAUAUCGUAGGGGUACAAUGAGUAAGUGGUUUGACUCCAAAGACCUGAGUUUGGAUCUCAGCUCCACAACUCACUUGGCUGAUUGCUUUCUUUCCCUGGACUCAAGUUUCAUCAUCUGUAAAACUGGCAUUUCAACCAAAUAACUUCUGAAGUCUCUCCCUCCUUUAAAGCUUGAUAUUACAAGGGCAAAUUUUAGUACAAAUAUCCAAAUCCUAACGGUAACUCACAAUUACAAAAGAGCUGAGUCUGUCAUUCACCUGUCAAAUUAUCUAAACUGCGUCUCAGUCAGGAGAUGUGAAAAGAAGGAUGGAUUUUCUAUGAAUGUUUUCUUUUUUUUUUUU